rnacentral:rRNA from 1 species
AUCCCCCAAGUGGGGAAGGGGGUACCUCCAGUGGCCUCCUAAGAAGGGCGGCUUUUCCACGGUGCCCCCCUUCCGGGGGAAUAAGGGGGGGGCAGGACUGGUGUCACCCCCCGCGGUAACACCAGCCCCCCGAGUUGUGGGGAUGCUUUAUUUGGGUCUAAAGCGUCCGUAGCCGGCCCGGUAAAUCUCUCGUUUAAAUCCAGCGUCCUAAGCGUUGGGCUGCGAGGGAGACUGCCGGGCUAGAGGGUGGGAGAGGUCAGCGGUAUUUCUGGGGUAGGGGCGAAAUCCUUUGAUCCCCGGAGGACCCCCAGUGGCGAAGGCUGCUGACUAGAACACGCCUGACGGUGAGGGACGAAAGCUGGGGUAGCGAAUCGGAUUAGAUACCCGAGUAGUCCCAGCUGUAAACGAUGCAGACUAGGUGUUGGGUUGGCCACGCGCCGACUCAGUGCCACAGGGAAGCCAUUAAGUCUGCCGCCUGGGAAGUACGGCCGCAAGGCUGAAACUUAAAGGAAUUGGCGGG